AACGAACGCUGGCGGCAUGCCUAACACAUGCAAGUCGAACGAGACCUUCGGGUCUAGCGGCGCACGGGUGCGUAACGCGUGGGAACCUGCCCUUAGGUUCGGAAUAACUCCCCGAAAGGGGUGCUAAUACCGGAUAAUGUCUUCGGACCAAAGAUUUAUCGCCUUUGGAUGGGCCCGCGUUGGAUUAGCUAGUUGGUAGGGUAAAAGCCUACCAAGGCGACGAUCCAUAGCUGGUCUGAGAGGAUGAUCAGCCACACUGGGACUGAGGCACGGCCCAGACUCCUACGGGAGGCAGCAGUGGGGAAUAUUGGACAAUGGGCGAAAGCCUGAUCCAGCAAUGCCGCGUGAGUGAUGAAGGCCUUAGGGUUGUAAAGCUCUUUUACCCGGGAUGAUAAUGACAGUACCGGGAGAAUAAGCUCCGGCUAACUCCGUG
rnacentral:rRNA from 1 species